GCCUCAAUGGUCUAGUGGUAUGAUUCGCGCUUCGGGUGGUGCAACUGCUCCUUGCUUGUACACAAGCAAUACCAAUGUGCGAGGUCCUGGGUUCGAAUCCCAGUUGAGGCC